CAAAAGUCUUUUCGACCUCCCAGGAUGCGUGGUGGACUCACUAGUCACUAGCAUUGCCCAUAGAGGCUACCAUUCAUUCUCCAGCUAGUGUUCUUCUCUUUUAGUUGAGUCUCCCCACAGCCUUCACCAAGACAAAUUCCAAAUCUUACUGCCGCUGCGAUGCAUGGCCGAUUCCUGAUAUUGGUCUGGGCCUGCUGUCUACCGCUGAUGCUUACGGUCACAGCGGCUGAGGAGCAUCAAGGGGAAGGCUGCUCCGCCAAGUGCGGCAAAAUCACCGUCUCCGCUCCGUUCUGGCUCACUGAUUUGCAGACGGGAAAAUCAUGUGGUUCGCCUGGACCGCCGGACUUCGAGGUUACAUGCUAUAACAGCAGUUAUCCACUCCUUCCGAGCUCUGUGCCCAACGGCUACGGCUUUGCAAUCAUCAACAUCUCCUACGAGGAGCGCAGCAUGCGCCUUGUUGAUGUAGGCAAGAUGGAACUGUUUCGCGACAUCUUCAAUAAGUGCCUGCCUUUCUGGAACACCUCCGUCAAACUGGGCCGCCCGUUUCGGAUCGACCCCAUCAACCUGUACCUCAUCUUUUACAACUGCACAGAGGAAGCCGCAAUGGCGGCUGCGGCGCGUCGGGACAGAGAGCUCCUGCAGACGACGACGAUGAGGUGCAUGAACACGGGCAACGCGUUUUUCCGUGCAGGAGUGCGCUAUGACGCGACUGGAAACUAUGCCGGCUAUGCUUUGGAGGGAUGUGAUGCUAUCGUCGUGCCGAUGGUGGGCUCGCCAUCGUCGUCGGGCCAGGCGGCGAGCGACUAUGAGCAGCUCAUCAAGCAUGGCUUCCUUUCGACGUGGGAUGAACCUCUCUUCCCUUUCCCUGCACGUAGCAAGAGGACUGGCAUGAAGAUUAUACUAAUAGGUAUGCCGAAACUUUCCAUAUAUUAUCAUUUAAGCCUUGGUAGUUGAUUUAGUGAAUUUCUAACAUAAUAGUUUUUUUUGACCUGAAACUGUAGGGUAUUGACCCCACAGUAAUUUUAUUGCUCUCAAAAAAAGGUUACAAAUUUACACAAUUUACAAGGUCUAAAAGACCCAAAAAGAAAAAGACAAAAACAACAAACUCACCUCAAGGAGGCAAAAAGGAAAUCCAUCUAAGCAGAUCCUCCUUGAACUUAGGCUUAAUUCUAUGAACCAAGAGGGAAAUGUCUAGAAUAAAAGAAGACCUCCAUCUACGAAAAGAGGGUCGAAUAUUCCUAAAAACCCUAUCAUUCCUAACAUUCCAGAUGUUCCAGCAUGCUAGGAAAACCACUUCAGAGAAGAAAGGCUUAGCAAAAUCCCUUCUAGCAUGAUAGGCAAUGGCAAUCAUAUCAUCUCCAGCCAUCCAGAUUUCUAACAUAAUAGUUAAAAAUCAUAGCGCAAAAUCUUUGGCUUUGAUUCAAAAUAGUAUUUAAAAAAGCAAAUUAUCAGCAUGUGCAUAAUACAAGAGAAGUCACUUUAGACAAAAUAUCUAUGGCCUUUACCCUCUAGCUUUCACUUUUGUUGGGUUGUAUUCUUUAAGAGAGGGAUAUCUAAACUAUUGAUAGUCUAGAGAUCUAAAUGACCAUAAUAUAAGUUCAGACCUCUCAUUUCUAAAAACGAAAUAACAUAUGCUUCUAUCUCAGUUUUGACAGCAACAGCUGCAACCUUGCUCUUUCUAUGUAUUUAUGUGUUGAUAUGGCAUAGAAAGGGUAAAAUACUAUGGUUUCUCCUUUGCAAAAAUACUAGCAGCAUCACUGAAAGGAAUUACGAAGCCAUGAUAGCAACCUAUGGAUCCCUAGCUCCCAAAAGAUACCUGUACUCAGAGGUAAUGAAGAUAACAUCUUACCGUAGCGAUCAGCUCGGAAAAGGUGGUUACGGUGUGGUUUUCAAAGGAAGACUACAUGAUGGUCUUCUGGUUGCUGUGAAAUUUUUGCAUGAAUGCAAAGGAAAUGGGGACGAGUUUGUUAAUGAGGUUAUGAGCAUUGGUAGGACCUCUCAUGUUAAUGUUGUCAGCCUAUUUGGGUUUUGUUUGGAGGGAUCAAAACGAGCACUUAUAUACGAGUACAUGUCCAACGGUUCCUUGGAUAAGUUCAUUUACUCGGAGAACCCCAAAGAAAUUUUAGGAUGGCAGAGGCUCUAUGCUAUAGCACUUGGGAUUGCUCGUGGCCUAGAAUACUUGCACCAUAGUUGUAAUACACGGAUUAUUCAUUUCGAUAUCAAGCCUCAAAAUAUACUUCUAGACAAGGAUUUUAGCCCAAAGAUUGCUGAUUUCAGACUGGCUAAAUUGUGUCAUGCAAAGGAGAGCAAGCUUUCAAUGACUGGUGCUAGAGGAACAAUUGGGUUCAUCGCUCCAGAAGUUCACUCUCGAACCUUCGGAGUGGUUUCGACAAAAUCAGAUGUUUAUAGUUAUGGAAUGAUGCUUUUAGAGAUGGUUGGAGGCAGAAGAAAUGUAAAAUCUAUUGUUGAAAAUUCCAGCGAAAAGUAUUUUCCAGAUUGGAUUUAUGACCACUUUGCGCAUGAUGAUGGAUUACAAGCAUGUGAAGUGACAGGAGAAAUGGAGGAAAUCGCAAGAAAGAUGACGUUAAUUGGCUUGUGGUGCAUACAAAUAUUGCCUGCAUAUCGCCCUACUAUAACCAAAGUUCUAGAAAUGUUCGAGAGAAGCUCUGAUGACAUGGACAUGCCACCGAAGCAAAACUUCUCUGGAUUGAUUGAAAAUUCAGCUCACAACAUGAAUGUAGAAAGUGCCAGCUCUACAAGAUCUGAGAGACAAGACUUGUAAAUUCAAAAAUCCUACAAUGAUUGCCAACUCUUUGAGAAGAUGAGCUACAUCAGAGAUAAACAAGCACGGAGUUCGGCAUUGAAUCACAAGACAUACAGAAUUACUAAUGCACAAUUUCGUGGAAAUUCCUUAGUUUCAGUCUACUAUCUCACAGACUUCAAAUUAGCUUUGAGACUUUCCUUUUUGGGUAGAAAUUAAAGAGAUGGGCCAUACUAUGGGGGUCUAAGCGUGGGAUUUAUAAUUAGAAUAGCCUGCACAACAGACGCUUAUUCCAGGUUUGCAUAAACUAGAGUUAGGUGGCACUAUUUGGAACAAUAUAUAGCUUGCUAUUCUGGUUAUAAAUAGAACUUGGAUAAAUGUAUUGUUGAAGUUCAUCAUAAAAUAACUUGAUCUAAAAGUAUAUGUCUUGUUCCAUUGAAGAUUUGGCACACAAUAUUUUCCAGUCAAAAAAUGGUUCAACGGUUGCCAAUUCUUUCAGAAGGCAACAUGCACUUGAUUUGGAAAUUAAACGAAAGCAACGCCAUAUUCAAGUUGUACCAUAUUUCAUAUAUAUACAAACAGUUGGCUCUAUAUGGAACAAACAGCCGUGGGUAAAUAUUUUUAGAGUUCCAUUAAAUCUAUCAUACUCCCUUCGUCCCAUAAUAUAAGACGUUUUUUGACACUACAUUAUGGGACGGAUGGAGUACUGCCC
rnacentral:rRNA from 1 species